ACAGACACGCUGCCAUUUCUAGGGCCGUCCAGAGAGAGGGUGUCAAAUGGAAAUAUGUGUACGGCACGGAGAGAUGGUGAAGGACGUGAGACAGAGAAAUGGCUCGCCGAAGCGACGGAGUGGGUGGAAGAGCAGAAGACAUAGAGGGAGAAGGGUAGAGAGUCAUAACUUUCCUGUUAUUAUGGAAAGAAGGAAAAAGAGCAGCCAAGAAUUCAGAUAUCGGACGACUCAACUGGACCUUUGUUCACUAAUAAUGUCUUUUUCAAUAUUUUUACAUCUAAUAUAAAAGCUCUUCAAGUUUCAGUUCUCGCUUCCUACAAUAUAUGCCACGCUAUAAUGUCAUAAGGUCUUGGUUAUGAAAAAUAAACUGUGUCGGUGGUUAUACAACUGAAAGACGUGGUCAAGGUUCGAAAGAACCCGUAGAGCGAGCUUGUCGUAAACAUUCAACCACACGGGUGAAUGUGAAAACAACACCGGAGGCUGCACACGUCUCCGCACACCGUGAGAUGAUCAGGAGGUAGCUGCUACCCAACCGAGGGUCACGCCAGCGCUUCACCGCCGCAACGCUCCAAGGUCAAGGAAUUUAACUGUCGAGCUUAUUUUCAAACGGGGAAAUGUGUCUACUACGGUUGAGAAACGGUAUCGAUAAUCGUGGCGAGCAGAGCGGCGGCUAAACCAGCCGUGACCAGACUGUAGUUGCUCUCCGCCCCCCCCCCGUCCUCAGCUGAUCAAAGGGAGAUUAGGAAAUUUGAUUACGAAUGCCAGUUGCUUUUUUUUUUUUUUUUUCAUCAAAAUGCCCUGAAGAUAGACUUUUCUAAAUGAUCUAACGCAGGCUGGCAAUACUCUGUUAUAGAAUUAGCCAGACGUGUAAUUUAAUAACGGUUGGAUGGAUGGAUGUGAAAGAAUGAGAGAGAUUCAGGGGGGUGAGAGACUGGAUUUUACAGUUGAUUUCAGUUUGCUUUAUUGAAGCCUGGUCUCGUGUGCGUGUGCGUGUGCGUGUGCGUGUGUGCACAAAAGUGUGUGUGUGUGUGUGUGACAUUGCCUUAAGGAGACAUGGGACAAAAAUGACAAAUGUUUUUUUAAACUCUUAGUGACAGACUAUAGAAAUGUGUUGUGUGUUUUUAUGUGUCAAGAGAAGAGAGCACAUACUAUACAAUAGAUGUGUUGUAGCCCCAGUAUGAUCCUUCCCUAAUGGGUCAUGCUUAAUCUCCACAGCCAAUAGAAGUCUCUUCAGGAAACUGCAAUAUAUCUACUGCCAACUUGAGCAACUUUGGGAUGAACUUUUUAAUAUCAUCCUCAUCUUUUCAAUUCUUAACUGUUAUAUGUCUGAUGAAGCAAAAGGCCCGUCGCAAAAUUAUUAUCUUUCUGAGACGCAUUUCAAGAAUGACCUUGAAAAUUAAAUCGUUAUCAUUUAUUGGUGAGAAGAUCAUUGCUCCUCCUAUUUCAUUUCAUUUCAUUUACUUUCUAGAUUCACAGUGCAAAAGUAAGAGCUGUGAUUCAAUUUCCUUUUAUUAUCCUCUUGGAAAGAUUUCAGAAAUUUAAUUUCUCAUCUAUUUAAAAAUAAAAAUGUUUUCAGUAGAAGUGAUUUUCACCCUAACAUCAUGUCCAUGCACAGAUAUGUUUAUAGUUGUAUCUUAUUCACAGUUAUGGAAAAUAAAAGAAAGAAAUGUCUCAACCUCCUAAAAAAAAAAGUAUAAAUAAGUAUCUAUCUGAGUUUACGUGUAUUCUAAUUGUUUGUUUUUAACCAAAGACUCAUUGAGUUAAAAGUUCAGUCAACAGCCGUGAUAGGCCCUUACAGCAAGGCUUCACUGGGAAUAGUCCCUCAAUUUUUCAGUUCCUACUAUUAACUUACCAUUUAAAUACUGUAUCUGUGUCUGUGUGUGUGUGUGUGUCAAUGAGUUUGAGUCGUUUUAUAUUUGUAUGUGUGCGUCUGUAACAAAUGAUCUAAUGCAACCCUUAAAUUUAUGACAAAUGUUUCAUACAGUUAAAUCGCUCAAUCGCAUUCAGUUUUCAUAAGAAGCCUGAGACCACAUGCACGCACACAAAUGCACACAAGAAUAAUAACCCUUAAAAAUAAUUAUCAUCACUCAUUGUGGCUUCCACUCCUCAGAGAUUCUUGUGUCCACCGUGUGUGUAUUUGUGUGUGAGGUUGUGCAUAUAAUUUCCUUGUUAAACAAUCACGUUUUGUGGUUCAUCCUGUGUGCGUGUGUGUGUUUGUGUGUCUGUGUGCUGGUUUUUGAUGUGGCUUUGUUCAACAGAAAAACAAGCUUUUAAGUUUCACAGAGAAAAUCCUCAAAUCCCCAAAUGGAUUGAUAAUUACAAACAGGACAAGACCAAUACGUGUAACUGUGUGUGUGUGUGUGUGUGUGUGUGUGUGUAACUUUGUGUGUGUGUGUGUGUGUGUGUGUGUGUGUGUGUGUGUGUGUGUGUGUGUGUGUGUGUCGUGGGGUUGUAGCCAAACAUGUUUUAUGCGUUUCUAUGGAACUAUAAUGACAAAUUCCUGCCACCGCUCAAGUAGAAGUAAGAAAGCUUCAGGAGAGAGGACAGAGAGACGGCCGGUGAUUUACAUUGUGAGAUGAGCAAAAACAAUAGAAACCAAAGAGAUGGAGAGAAAACCAGCAAGAUGGGGAAAAAAACGUGAUAAAGACAUUUUAAUAGAGAGGAAGUGAAAAUCUUGAAUAAUAUUAACUAGCUCUUUGAUGCCAGAUGCUAAGCCAGGAUGGUUUCAUUUAGAGCCAUUACAAUGUUUCUUUGCAUUACCGAAAGCCUCUGCCUUGGCAGAAUAGGCGAUUCUUAAGUGGUUUCAAUCUUUAUAUGAGCCAAAAAUCUAUUAAUUGUAACCGUAAAGAGCUUUUGUUGUGUGCGCAUAAUCUGUUUCCUUUCUCAAUUUCUGUAAUGUUUUGAUUUAAAUGUGCGAAACUGCAGCACAUUCAAAAGGGCUUAAGAAGUAUUGUUGAUGGUUGGCUGUCAUGCCGAGGAAGCAUCUUUUGAUGAGAAAAUGA
ensembl:lncRNA